GGGGGGUUAACCAUGCAGGUCGACGAUGACCACUUCGGUGGGGAUUAGUGGCGAACGGGUGAGUAACCUGCCCUUGACUCUGGGAUAAGCCUGGGAAACUGGGUCUAAUACCGGAUAUGACUCCUCAUCGCAUGGUGGGGGGUGGAAAGCUUUUGCGGUUUUGGAUGGACUCGCGGCCUAUCAGCUUGUUGGUGAGGUAAUGGCUCACCAAGGCGACGACGGGUAGCCGGCCUGAGAGGGUGACCGGCCACACUGGGACUGAGACACGGCCCAGACUCCUACGGGAGGCAGCAGUGGGGAAUAUUGCACAAUGGGCGAAAGCCUGAUGCAGCGACGCCGCGUGAGGAGGGACGGCCUUCGGGUUGUAAACCUCUUUCAGUAGGGAAGAAGCGAAAGUGACGGUACCUGCAGAAGAAGCGCCGGCUAACUACGUGCCAGCAGCCGCGGU
rnacentral:rRNA from 1 species